AAUUCAAUUAGUCUUUGUGUUUUAACUGGGGGUAAUGAAAAUAAUCUUAAUUUAUUUUAAAUAAGUAUUUAAUAAAGAAAGUUUUUUGAGGAUAAUAGCUGACAAGUACUGUAAAGGAAAGUUGAAAUAUGUGAAAAAUUUAAUUUAAUAAAAGUAUAAUUAAAAAUUAGUGCCUUGUGUUUCAGGAAACUUAAAAUUAAUCUUAUAAAAUAAGUAAUCCCGAAAUUUAGUGAGCUAGUUUGUUAUAAAUAGUUAACGUAGUAUAGUUAUUAUAAAUGAUAUACUAGAAGUGAAAUUCUAUUCGCACUAAUAAGUAUCUGGUUUUUUAGUAAAUUAAUUUAAUUUAGCCUUCAGCUGGUCAUGACACUGAAGAGUAAAAAUAGGAGGGAAAAGCUUCUUAUUUAAUAAUAAACUUACUAUGGGUGAUAGUAAUUUGCUUAUUUAAUUAGGCUUAAAACCAGUCAAAUUUAAAAACCGUUAUAGGUUAUUUAGGUGCUAUUAAUAUUUAAAAUCACUCUAGCUUGGUUAUUAAAAAUUUUUAUUUAAUAAAUUAUUCAUAGUUAUAAUUAAGUUAUUAGUAUAAAAGUUUUGUGAAUUUGGGGAUAUAUAAAUUAAAACCUUCAAUUUUACUAAAACAAAAAUUGUGUUAAGGAACUCGGCAAUUAUCCUUUCUGCCUGUUUAUCAAAAACAUGUCCAUGUGUAAUAGGUUUACAUGGUCUGGCCUGCCCACUGAUAUAAAUUAAAGGGCCGCGGUAUUUUGACCGUGCGAAGGUAGCAUAAUAAUUAGUCUCCUAAUUAGAGGCUUGUAUGAAUGGUCGGACAAGAUGGGAACUGUCUCAACACAAACUAUAAAAUUUAAUGUUUGAGUAAAAAAGCUUAAAUAAUAUGGAGGGACGAUAAGACCCUAUAAAGCUUUAUAGUGUAGUUUUUUUAUAUUAAUUAUAUAUUUUAGUUUAUUAAAAAAGUAAUACUAUUUUACUGGGGCGGUAAAAGUAUAUUUUUGAUUAACUGCUUUUGUUUUUAAAAACAAUAAUAAUUGGUUAAUAGAUUGAUCCAUUAUUAAUGAUCACAAGAACAAGUUACUUUAGGGAUAACAGCGUAAUUUUUCUUGAGAGUCCAUAUCGAAAGAAAAGUUUGCGACCUCGAUGUUGAAUUAAGAAGGCCUUAAGGUGCAGCAGUUUUAAUAGGCAGAUCUGUUCGAUCUUUAAAUUCUUACAUGAUUUGAGUUCAGACCGGCGUAAGCCAGGUUGGUUUCUAUCUUCCAUAAUUAAAUAGAUUUAUUUUAGUACGAAAGGAUUUAAUAAGUCAAAUAUUUUGUUGUUAGUUGAAUCUCAUUAAGUUA
rnacentral:rRNA from 1 species